GCCUUCGUGGUGUAGUGGUCAGCACGCUCGACGCGUAACCGAAGAAUUCCGUGGUUCGAUUCUCGCCGAAGGCG
rnacentral:tRNA from 1 species